rnacentral:rRNA from 1 species
AUUGAACGCUGGCGGCAUGCCUUACACAUGCAAGUCGAACGGUAACGCGGGGCAACCUGGCGACGAGUGGCGAACGGGUGAGUAAUACAUCGGAACGUGCCCAGUAGUGGGGGGAUAGCCCGGCGAAAGCCGGAUUAAUACCGCAUACGACCUACGGGUGAAAGCAGGGGAUCGCAAGACCUUGCGUCAUUGGAGCGGCCGAUAUCAGAUUAGCUUGUUGGUGGGGUAAAAAGCCUACCAAGGCGACGAUCUGUAGCUGGUCUGAGAGGACGACCAGCCACACUGGGACUGAGACACGGCCCAGACUCCUACGGGUGGCUG